GCUGGGCGUGGUGGCUCACGCCUGUAAUCCCAGCACUUUGGGAGGCUGAGGCGGGUGGAUCACCUGAGGUCAGGAGUUUGAGACCAGCCUGGCCAACAUGGUGAAACCCCGUCUCUA
rnacentral:SRP_RNA from 1 species